rnacentral:rRNA from 1 species
AUGUCCAAAACAAUCUUCUUAUUCCUCUUGAUCGAGCUCACCGGCAGGAUACCUCUGGACUUCAACAACCUGAACUCCGGUGUGCUCAAUCUUUCCUGCAACAACCUCACGGGCGAGAUGCCACCGUCGCUGCAAAUUGGCGUACGAACUCAGCUUCCUUGCAAACUGUGGCCUUUGUGCCAAACAGGGCACGGAGAUAAAUCUUCUGGCAUCACUGUCGGCAUCAUCGUCGGCGUUGUCUGGCCGUCACGAACAAUGGUGGUGGCUGUCAAGAAGAUAGAGAGCCCUGGCGAAACAAGGAUGGAGGCGGAGCUCGACAAACAGUUCGAGUCGGAGGCCACGGUGCUGGGCGGCAUACGGCACAGAAACAUCGUCAAGCUCCUCGGCUACAUCUCCGGAGUGGACACCAAGCUGCUCUAUACGAGUAUAUAG